CGGCGGACGGGUGAGUAACGCGUGGGUAACCUACCCUGUACACACGGAUAACAUACCGAAAGGUAUGCUAAUACGGGAUAAGUAUAUUUGAGAGGCAUCUCUUGAAUAUCAAAGGUGAGCCAGUACAGGAUGGACCCGCGUCUGAUUAGCUAGUUGGUAAGGUAACGGCUUACCAAGGCGACGAUCAGUAGCCGACCUGAGAGGGUGAUCGGCCACAUUGGAACUGAGACACGGUCCAA
rnacentral:rRNA from 1 species